rnacentral:lncRNA from 1 species
CUUCUUCCAUCGAUGAUCAUACUCUCCACGAUCAGGGUACUGGCUAUUUUAGUACUACUUCUUCCAUCGAUGAUCAUACUACACACCUUGUUGUUGAUAAGGCAGCAGGUGUGAAAUAUGUUCUCCCCUUGUUCUGGGUCCUUACUUUUGAUUUGCAAGUUGAGGGCUCUUCACAGAACAAUGGUACUGCUCCAGCUGGGAGUUCUUGCAAUGAUAUGAAAUAUAUCGAAGUACCUGCAAAAAGAAGUUAGUGAAAGUAAAAACUCUCCUUCACCUUCGCUCGUGUUUACUUCCCAAUCUCUUAGUUGACAACUUCUUCUGUUGAGUUGAGCGUUCGAAAUCAGAAUCACUUGGUCGGGUCUACACGUUAGCUCUUAUGACACAACAAAACCUUAAAAGCUUGUUUGGAUGACUUUCAGGAUGGUUAAUUAAUGUAUGGUGU